AUGGUUUUUCUGGAAAGAUGGCUUUGGCUAUCACUCUGGGAUGGACCUGCGGUGCAUUUAGCUAGUUGGUAAGGUAACGGCUUACCCAAGGCGAUGAUGCAUAGCCGAGUUGAGAGACUGAUCGGCCACAAUGGGAACUGAGACACGGUCCAUAACUUCUACGGGAGGCAGCAGUAGGGAAUCUUCCACAAUGGGCGCAAGCUGAUGGAGCAACACCGCGUUAUUAAGAAAGGGUUUCGGCCGCUUAAACUCUGUUGUUGGAGAAGAACGUGCGUUAGAGUAACUGUUACGCAGUGACGGUAUCCAACCAGAAAGUCACGGCUAACUACGUGCCAGCAGCCGCGGUAAUACGUAGGUGGCAAGCGUUAUCCGGAUUUAUUGGGCGUAAAGCGAGCGCAGGCGGUUGCUUAGGUCUGAUGUGGAAACUCGGCUUAACCGAAGAAGUGCAUCGGAAACCGGGCGACUUGAGUGCAGAAGAGGACAGUGGAACUCCAUGUGUAGCGGUGGAAUGCGUAGAUAUAUGGAAGAACACCAGUGGCGAAGGCGGCUGUCUGGUCUGCAACUGACGCUGAGGCUCGAAAGCAUGGGUAGCGAACAGGAUUAGAUACCCUGGUAGUCCAUGCCGUAAACGAUGAGUGCUAGGUGUUGGAGGGUUUCCGCCCUUCAGUGCCUGUUCUAACGCAUUAAUGCACUCCGCCUGGGGAGUACGACCGCAAGGUUGAAACUCAAAGGAAUUGACGGGGGCCCGCACAAGCGGUGAAGCAUGUGGUUUAAUUCGAAGCUACGCGAAGAACCUUACCAGGUCUUGACAUCUUGCGCUAACCUUAGAGAUAAGGCGUUCCCUUCGGGGACGUUAAUGACAGGUGGUGCAUGGUCGUCGUCAGCUCGUGUCGUGAGAUGUUGGGUUAAG
rnacentral:rRNA from 1 species